rnacentral:rRNA from 1 species
GGGCGCAAGCCUGAUCGAGCAAUGCCGCGUGACGGGAAGAAGGCCUUCGGGUUGUGAACCGCUCUUUUCAGGGAUCACGGUACCUGAAGAAUAAGCACCGGCUUACUACGUGCCAGCAGCCGCCGGUAAUACGUAGGGUGCAAGCGUUAAUCCGG